rnacentral:siRNA from 1 species
UACUAUCCUGGGCCUACUAAUA